UACGGGGGGGGCAAGCGUUGUUCGGAAUUACUGGGCGUAAAGGGCUCGUAGGUGGCCAACUAAGUCGGACGUGAAAUCCCUCAGCUUAACUGGGGAACUGCGUCCGAUACUGGAUGGCUCGAGUUUGGGAGAGGGAUGCGGAAUUCCAGGUGUAGCGGUGAAAUGCGUUGAUAUCGACCGGAACUCCGGUGGCGAAGGCGAGGUGCUGGACCCUUUCUGACGCUGAGGCGCGAAAGCCAGGGGAGCAAACGGG
rnacentral:rRNA from 1 species